UACGUAGGGGGCAAGCGUUAUCCGGAUUUACUGGGUGUAAAGGGAGCGUAGACGGCGAUGCAAGCCAGAUGUGAAAGCCCGGGGCUCAACCCCGGGACUGCAUUUGGAACUGUGUGGCUGGAGUGUCGGAGAGGCAGGCGGAAUUCCUAGUGUAGCGGUGAAAUGCGUAGAUAUUAGGAGGAACACCAGUGGCGAAGGCGGCCUGCUGGACGAUGACUGACGUUGAGGCUCGAAAGUGUGGGGAGCAAACAGG
rnacentral:rRNA from 1 species